UACGAAGGGGGCUAGCGUUGUUCGGAUUUACUGGGCGUAAAGGGCGCGUAGGCGGCGUGACAAGUCACUUGUGAAAUCUCCGGGCUUAACCCGGAAAGGUCAAGUGAAACUGUCGUGCUAGAGUACAGAAGGGGCAACUGGAAUUCUCGGUGUAGCGGUGAAAUGCGUAGAUAUCAGGAGGAACACCAAUUGCGAAGGCAGCUCGCUGGGACGUAACUGACGCUGAGACGCGAAAGCGUGGGGAGCAAACAGG
rnacentral:rRNA from 1 species